AGCACGUUCUUGCUGCUGCAAAGCCUCAAAUUCCCCUCCUCUUUUAUCCUGUAUCUGCUUGAUUGAUUCUUAGAAAACUCUGUGUUUUAUUUUUGAAUAUGUGUAUCAGUAGGUAUCUAGGUUGAUUGGUCUCAGAGAUCUGCCUCAGCUACUUAACAACCAUUUCUUGGUAAGAUUUCAUCUCAAAUUCCAGCCUCG